UUAAAGAUAAUCGGAUUUAAGCACGCUCUCCGCGGAUGCGGCGGGCCAGCUGGAUGUCUUUGGGCAUGAUGGUGACUCUCUUGGCGUGGAUGGCGCACAGGUUGGUGUCCUCAAACAGACCGACC